rnacentral:rRNA from 1 species
AAAUUGAAGAGUUUGAUCAUGGCUCAGAUUGAACGCUGGCGGCAGGCCUAACACAUGCAAGUCGAACGGUAACAGGAAGCAGCUUGCUGCUUCGCUGACGAGUGGCGGACGGGUGAGUAAUGUCUGGGAAACUGCCUGAUGGAGGGGGAUAACUACUGGAAACGGUAGCUAAUACCGCAUAACGUCGCAAGACCAAAGAGGGGGGACCUUCGGGCCUCUUGCCAUCGGAUGUGCCCAGAUGGGAUUAGCUUGUUGGUGGGGUAACGGCUCACCAAGGCGACGAUCCCUAGCUGGUCUGAGAGGAUG